UACGUGAGUGGCUAGCGUUAUCCGGAAUUAUUGGGCGUAAAGCGUCUGUAGGGGGAAAGUUAAGUGAAUUGUAAAAUCUCUCGACUCAAUCGAGAAUCUGCAGUUUAUACUGGCUUUCUAGAAGAUGGUAGAGGCAAGUGGAAUUCCAGGAGUAGGGGUAAUAUCCGUUGAUACCUGGAGGAACACCAAUAGCGAAGGCAGCUUGCUGGGCCAUUCUUGACCCUGAGAGACGAAAGCGUGGGGAGCGAACGGG
rnacentral:rRNA from 1 species